UCGCUGUGAUGACGUCUUUUCCUGCCAUUCGUAGUUUCCACCAGAGGUCUACAGACCAAAGAUGGCACAAUCCUUCCUUGGAUGUCUGAGCGA
ensembl:snoRNA SNORD14 Small nucleolar RNA SNORD14